UCAUCACCACCGUCCUCCUUGGAAUCAGAGCGGCCGGCUUCCUCUGAUUUAACGUCAACCAAUAGAUCAUCUUCUUCAUCUCCAACUUCUAGUUCUUCGUUUUUGCUAUGUUCCUCAAACUGGCUUUGGAGAAACAAAUCAACCUGUUCCCUUAUAAACGCCUUCCUAUCUGCGCCUUCCUAUCUGAUAAAUCGACGCCGAAAUCUUCCUCCAGCUUCUGACGUAUGAUACCAGUAGUCGUCGUGUUGAGGUCCGAAUUUCGUAAAAACUCUCUUAGCCUCUUGAUUAGCUCGGAGUCGUACACCAUUUUCUCUAAUAAUCCUAUAUUUCGGGUCAGCUUGGGCUGAGCCGACAGAGUUAGUUGAGAGUAGGAGGGCAAUGUAGGCUCUUUGGUAAGGAAGGGUUGGGGUUGGGGGCUGGAAGGGGAAAAAUAUGAAAAUAUGAAAACGUUCGUUUACCGGUU
rnacentral:misc_RNA from 1 species